AACGAACGCUGGCGGCAGGCCUAACACAUGCAAGUCGAGCGAGGUAGCAAUACUUAGCGGCGGACGGGUGAGUAACGCGUGGGAACGUACCCUUUGCUACGGAAUAGCCCCGGGAAAUGGGAGUAAUACCGUAUGUGCCCUUCGGGGGAAGAUUUAUCGGCAAAGGAUCGGCCCGCGUUGGAUUAGGUAGUUGGUGGGGUAAUGGCCUACCAAGCCGACGAUCCAUAGCUGGUUUGAGAGGAUGAUCAGCCACACUGGGACUGAGACACGGCCCAGACUCCUACGGGAGGCAGCAGUGGGGAAUCUUAGACAAUGGGCGCAAGCCUGAUCUAGCCAUGCCGCGUGAGUGAUGAAGGCCUUAGGGUUGUAAAGCUCUUUCAGAUGGGAAGAUAAUGACGGUACCAUCAGAAGAAGCCCCGGCUAACUCCGUGCCAGCAGCCGCGGUAAAGUCGUACG
rnacentral:rRNA from 1 species